rnacentral:rRNA from 1 species
GACGAACGCUGGCGGCGUGCUUAACACAUGCAAGUCGAACGGAAAGGCCCUGCUUUUGUGGGGUGCUCGAGUGGCGAACGGGUGAGUAACACGUGAGUAACCUGCCCUUGACUUUGGGAUAACUUCAGGAAACUGGGGCUAAUACCGGAUAGGAGCUCCUGCUGCAUGGUGGGGGUUGGAAAGUUUCGGCGGUGGGGGAUGGACUCGCGGCUUAUCAGCUUGUUGGUGGGGUAGUGGCUUACCCAGGCUUUGACGGGUAGCCGGCCUGAGAGGGUGACCGGCCACAUUGGGACUGAGAUACGGCCCAGAGUCCUACGGGAGGCAGAAGUGGGGAAUAUUGCACAAUGGGCGGAAGCCUGAUGCAGCAACGCCGCGUGCGUGAUGACGGCCUUCGGGUUGUAAACCGCUUUCGCCUGUGACGAAGCGUGAGUGACGGUAAUGGGUAAAGAAGCACCGGCUAACUACGUG